AUAUAUCUCAGAAUUUCUCUUACAAUAUCUCUCUCGCUCUGUGUCUCAAAACCUCUCAGAAAAAACACAUUCUCCAUCCCGCCUAUGGCACCCGCAGAUGUCACCCCGCAUCGACCUCCGCCUCCUCUCCCAAUCCGAGCUCUUCUCUCUCCCUAUGCUCUUCCUCUGCCCUUAAAACUCACUAAAACGAAAUCGUCAUCCCCAAAAUCGACGGUCCCGUUUUUAAUGAAUCCUCCACGGCUGCGAUUUUAGUUUGUAGAAGUAGGGUUUGAGAUAGGUACAGCCGCAGAUUGUUUUCAGUGAGCAAGUUAUAGGCGGCCCUGGUGCGCACGCAACCUGUUCGAUGUUUUGUCUCAGAGAAUCAGGGGUUUAAAUUGGGGCGUUUUCAGAAUUAGGGUUUUACUUCGCUUUUAUCUGGUUUGAACUUCAAGAAGGUCUAUGUUUAAUGUUGAGUUCUUGAGGGGCUGCUUAAUUCACUUGACUUUAUAAUUAACACUGCAUCCGGAGAUAUUCCUUUCGAUCAGUGCUUAUCUCUUCUCAAGAGAGGGUGUCCAGCAUUAAGUUGUCUAAAGCUAUUAAGCUAAUAAUAAAGCAAAGGAGGAAACUGUGUUAUUACUGUGAAUUAUUUACGGAUGUAUGACAACUUCCCCUCUCCCAGUAUAUGGAUACAUAGCUUAUUUGAA